rnacentral:snoRNA from 2 species
AGACCAUGAUGCGGACAUUUCCUUAGUAGCUCCUUGAACCUUUCCCAUGUCUUGUACAAGGAUUCCCCGUCUUCUUGAGUGUAGGUGUUGAUUUCGCUCAUGAGUUU